UCAUGCCUACGGGACGCAGCAGUGGGGAAUAUUGCACAAUGGGCGCAAGCCUGAUGCAGCGACGCCGCGUGCGGGAUGGAGGCCUUCGGGUUGUAAACCGCUUUUGUUCAAGGGCAAGGCACGGUCUUUGGCCGUGUUGAGUGGAUUGUUCGAAUAAGCACCGGCUAACUACGCGCCAACAGCCGCGGUAAUACGUAGGGUGCAAGCGUUAUCCGGAUUAAUUGGGCGUAAAGGGCUCGUAGGCGGUUCGUCGCGUCCGGUGUGAAAGUCCAUCGCUUAACGGUGGAUCCGCGCCGGGUACGGGC
rnacentral:rRNA from 1 species